AUUGAACGCUGGCGGCAGGCCUAACACAUGCAAGUCGAGCGGAUGACGGGAGCUUGCUCCUUGAUUCAGCGGCGGACGGGUGAGUAAUGCCUAGGAAUCUGCCUGGUAGUGGGGGACAACGUUUCGAAAGGAACGCUAAUACCGCAUACGUCCUACGGGAGAAAGCAGGGGACCUUCGGGCCUUGCGCUAUCAGAUGAGCCUCGGUCGGAUUAGCUAGUAGGUGAGGUAAUGGCUCACCUAGGCGACGACCCGUAACUGGUCUGAGAGGAUGAUCAGUCACACUGGAACUGAGACACGGUCCAGACUCCUACGGGAGGCAGCAGUGGGGAAUAUUGGACAAUGGGCGAAAGCCUGAUCCAGCCAUGCCGCGUGUGUGAAGAAGGUCUUCGGAUUGUAAAGCACUUUAAGUUGGGAGGAAGGGAAGUAAGUUAAUACCUUGCUGUUUUGACGUUACCGACAGAAUAAGCACCGGCUAACUCUGUGCCAGCCGCCGCCGUAAUAC
rnacentral:rRNA from 1 species